AGAGCGAACGCUGGCGGCAGGCCUAACACAUGCAAGUCGAGCGCGUGUAGCAAUACACGAGCGGCAGACGGGAGAGUAACACGUGGGAACGCGCCCUUCGGUUCGGAAUAACUCAGGGAAACUUGAGCUAAUACCGGAUACGCCCUUACGGGGAAAGAUUUAUUGCCGAAGGAACGGCCCGCGUCCGAUUAGCUAGUUGGUGAGGUAACGGCUCACCAAGGCGACGAUCGGUAGCUGGUCUGAGAGGAUGACCAGCCUCACUGGGACUGAGACACGGCCCAGACUCCUACGGGAGGCAGCAGUGGGGAAUAUUGGACAAUGGGCGCAAGCCUGAUCCAGCCAUGCCGCGUGGAUGAUGAAGGCCUUAGGGUUGUAAAGUCCGUUUUAACGGGGAAGAUAAUGACGGUACCGUAGAAUAAGCCCCGGCUAACUUCGUGCCAGCAGCCGC
rnacentral:rRNA from 1 species